rnacentral:lncRNA from 1 species
AAAUUUAAAUUGAAAAAACCCUUUGUUAGUAUGAUUUUAUUCUCUUGAUUCAGAUAUGGAAUAAAGUAUCAUAUAACCAUGCAAAUGUACACUAAAUUCUUGUCAACCCUCUCAAAAACAUUGUUGCAUUGCGAUUAAUAUGCUUUUCUAAAAUCAUUCUAAAAUAUCAUAUUUGUUUCCAGUUAUUCUACCUCACAUGGGAGAUGCCACCUCAAAAGGAACAGAGGAAAAAAAUUGUCAAGCGGCUAAAAACAUUAUUGCUGUUUGGAAAGGAGCUCCAAUGCCCGCAGAGUAUCCUUUAUAACCCUCAAAAAUACCUCUCCGUAAUGCAAUUCAGCAACAAAAUAAGUAAAUCAGCAAGAAGACAGCAAAUAUUUAAGAUAGGCUGUUUUAGCGGCAUAAACUAAGCAUAUUGUAGUACUAACCACAAAAAGAAUGUUCCAUCUCCGUCUCAUCUGAGGUAAAUAGACUUUAAAUGCUCGAUUGAGAAGACCAAAUUUCAGGAAAUGAACAGUCGGAAAAGGCCCUCAGGAAUUAGUGCAUCUUAAAAUCUAAUACUCACUCAUGAUGGACCAAAUAUGAGGUUAGUGAAACCUGCUCGGAAGAAGCAUCUUCAUUGAACUCUUUGAGUUUGCUUCUUUUUUCAAUUAAGUUCUAAAAAUUACUGUGAUUCAGUGCGCCAAAGUUAUACUAAUAUUUUAUUUGUUAUUUACCAUCACAAAAGAAUCGUUGCAUUAUGUGAUCCGAAAAUUCAUGUGAUUUUUCUGAUCUCAAUGUAUUUUUGAGUUUCACAUGGUAGGCAUAAGUCAACACCUUAAAUAAAUAGCUGAUUGUCUGAAUGAUUCAUCAUUAUCUUGUGAACGCUUGAAUAAGUAUCACUUUGCUAUACUCAUACUCAAAGAUACAAAAUGGAAUUUCACAGGAUGAAAUUUCGAUUUCAAUAGAAUUUCAAGGGCCACAUAUGCAAUCUGCAAUUAUCAUUCAAGAAUUCGAAGAGAAACUUCAAAAUUUGACUAUAUUUUUGUUUUUUUUUUAAAUUAAGAUGUUAGUUUCUGUGAAUUUCUUGACAUGCUGAGUCCAUUGUAGGAGUUUUAAAAAUUUCAAAAAUAUUAACGUUAAAUUUCUUUUUAUUAAGUCAUGAAGCCAUGUAUCUCUAUGCUCUCAUUACUAAGCUUUUUCAAGUAGUUUUACCACACCUUUGUUUCGUGCCUUACAAGGUAUAUUUUAUUAUGAAUCAUUAUCUAUUACUCGAGUAUGCGUUGAAGUUGCACAAGCUCAGAAAACUGAUUUCAAUUUUAUGUUGUCCUUGCAUGACCGCUCGACAGGUUAUCUAAAUGACAUCCAAUGGAGAACACUUCAUUAGUCGUAUUACGUCACUUCGUGAUUCAUUUUCUGUGGAUGGAGAAUUAAGUAGCUUCUAAGUUUU